rnacentral:rRNA from 1 species
ACGCUCGACACCUACGGGAGGCAGCAGUGGGGAAUAUUGCACAAUGGGGGAAACCCUGAUGCAGCAACGCCGCGUGAAGGAAGACGGUUUUCGGAUUGUAAACUUCUGUUCUUAGUGAAGAUAGUGACGGUAGCUAAGGAGCAAGCCACGGCUAACUACGUGCCGGCAGCCGCGGUAAUCUGAGGCGGCUGGCAAGGC